UCUGUUUUCUGCUGCUCUGUUUCCUGUUGGUAUGGUCGAAGAAGAAAACAUAGAGAGAGAGAGAGAGAGAGAGCGAGAGAAAGGGAGAACAAAGGAAGAACAACGACAGAGAGAGGGAGAACUAUCGAGAUAGGAAGUCAUCUCAUAAGGAAGGGUCUAAUCUUGCAUUUUUGGUUGGAUAUUGACAAAGUUUGGGGGCGGAGGAGACCGAGACUAUACACUCGGAAGACUCGACUCAUUGAGUUAUCAUUUUGGGGUUCUUUAUGAGCUAGGAGCUAGACUAACAGCGCAGGAUAUCUUUUUGGACAACGGGGAUCAGUGCGGAGGAUCUUUUUACAGUAGGGCCCACUCCUAGUAUAAGUAGUAAGUUCUUGUAGAAUGUUAUGAUUAAGUUACGACCUGAAACUUUUGUUUAGUUGGGUUAGUGAUAUGGUUGUGGAAAGUACUCUCUUGAGAGUUAUAUAUAUAUAUAUAUAUAUAUAUAUAUAUAUAUAUCAGAACCCGCUGAAUUGGUUAUAUACUUUUGGUAUAGCUUGCUAAAUUGGUUAA